AUGAACGCUGGCGGCGUGCUUAACACAUGCAAGUCGAACGAAGCACCUCUAAUCGAAGAUUGAGAAAGCUUGCUUUGAUUGAUUCACCUUGAGGUGACUGAGUGGCGGACGGGUGAGUAACGCGUGGGUAACCUACCCUAUACAGGGGGAUAACAGUUGGAAACGACUGCUAAUACCGCAUAAGCGCACAGGACCGCAUGGUCUAGUGUGAAAAACUCCGGUGGUAUAGGAUGGACCCGCGUCUGAUUAGCUAGUUGGUGAGGUAACGGCUCACCAAGGCGACGAUCAGUAGCCGACCUGAGAGGGUGACCGGCCACAUUGGGACUGAGACACGGCCCAAACUCCUACGGGAGGCAGCAGUGGGGAAUAUUGCACAAUGGGCGAAAGCCUGAUUGCAGCGACGCCGCGUGAACGAAGAAGUAUUUCGGUAUGUAAAGUUCUAUCAGCAGGGAAGAAAAUGACCGGUACCUGACUAAGAAGCUCCGGCUAAUACGUGCCAGCCGCCGC
rnacentral:rRNA from 1 species